AGCACGGGCGUCGACAUGGCCUCACGCAGGAGAGGCCCCCGCUGCUGCAACCAGCCAACCGAGUACAAAGUCAAGCAAGGGGUCAAGAAGAAGAAGCAUCAUCAAGAGAGGAGAUGACAGAGACUACAAGAUCAGCAGGAAGAAGAAGCAUCAUCAAGAGAGGAGAUGAAAGAGACUACAAGAUCAGCAGGAAGAAGAAGCAUCAAGAGAGGAGAUGAGCAGAGACCACAAGAUCAGCAAGAAGAAGAACCUGAUCGCCGGCAUGGGAUGGUUGUCGUUGUUGCUGCUGCUGCUGUGACUGGAGGUAUGCGCGGAGGUCGUCGUAGCUGAGGAGGGAGAAGUUCUCGGGCCACUCCCCGGAGAUGAUGGCAUCGGGGUUCUCGUCGAGCCCGAGCCGGAGCCCGCUCCCGUCCAUGAACGUGGACGCCCGGCACUCAAAGGUCCCGCCACUGGCUCUACCUCUUCUGGCCUUACUCUUGGCCCCUUUGAACAUGGAGCAGCUCUGCAAGGUAUUGAUGCACGCCAUGGAUGCUAGCUACUCUUCACUGCUUCCUUGUCUUGUGUUGUGGAUGUUGUCUGAC
rnacentral:lncRNA from 1 species